GGGUGAGUAAUGCCUAGGAAUCUGCCUGGUAGUGGGGGAUAACGUCCGGAAACGGGCGCUAAUACCGCAUACGUCCUGAGGGAGAAAGUGGGGGAUCUUCGGACCUCACGCUAUCAGAUGAGCCUAGGUCGGAUUAGCUAGUUGGUGGGGUAAAGGCCUACCAAGGCGACGAUCCGUAACUGGUCUGAGAGGAUGAUCAGUCACACUGGAACUGAGACACGGUCCAGACUCCUACGGGAGGCAGCAGUGGGGAAUAUUGGACAAUGGGCGAAAGCCUGAUCCAGCCAUGCCGCGUGUGUGAAGAAGGUCUUCGGAUUGUAAAGCACUUUAAGUUGGGAGGAAGGGCAGUAAGUUAAUACCUUGCUGUUUUGACGUUACCAACAGAAUAAGCACCGGCUAACUUCGUGCCAGCAGCCGCGGUAAUACGAAGGGUGCAAGCGUUAAUCGGAAUUACUGGGCGUAAAGCGCGCGUAGGUGGUUCAGCAAGUUGGAUGUGAAAUCCCCGGGCUCAACCUGGGAACUGCAUCCAAAACUACUGAGCUAGAGUACGGUAGAGGGUGGUGGAAUUUCCUGUGUAGCGGUGAAAUGCGUAGAUAUAGGAAGGAACACCAGUGGCGAAGGCGACCACCUGGACUGAUACUGACACUGAGGUGCGAAAGCGUGGGGAGCAAACAG
rnacentral:rRNA from 1 species